rnacentral:lncRNA from 1 species
CAUUUUCUGCCGAGCAUGUACUUCCUCCCGUGCAUGCUGACGUGGCAAUGCCAGAAAAUGCCCUGCCUGUGUCGCUAGGAGGGUCAGAGAUCCCUGUCCCUUCCUCACCCUUCCCUAUGUCUUCCCUGCCAGAAACUGAAGAGGAGCUGGAUGAGGCCAGGGUAGAUGUAAGAGAAUCGUUCGAAACGGUCUACCGAACGCAGAUGCCCUGAACCCGGCACUUAGAGGACCGAGGGACUUGGAAAUGUCACCAGGAGCUGGCCGCAGGAAUUGGCAAGGGAGAGAGGUCAACAACACACCGGUAUUUGUUGAGCGCCUGCUGAGUAUCCAGAACGGUGCUGGUUACGAGGUGGGGGUGCAAGUGUGGUUGUCCUGGGAUGUGUCGCGAGAGUGCAGUGGAGGAGGGUUUUAAAAGGCGAUUGAAGAAGAGACUGGAAUCAUCCCCGACUUCAGGGAACCCUCACAGUAGCAGGGGGAACACGAUUUCACCGGCAAGUGAAAGAGCGAGAGAACAUGAGUAAACCGAGGCAAUGGACGCCAUGGCAGGCCACCGGGAACCUGCCCCGAGACGGGCGUCGCCAGAGGGCUUCUUACGAGAAGUGGACCGGCCUGUGGCAGCAUGGACCCUCAUUAAGGGCCUUUGCAGGUCACUGAAAGCGUAAAUAGAAUUAAGAUGGAUAAAGAUGGGGGCGGGAGGAAGGGGGCAAGUGUGGAGGACACGAGGAUGGGAGGGGUCACUCUGCCCAAGCUCAGAAACAUCCUGGCCUCCGACAGAUGCAAUGAGGUGUCCGAAGCCCUGGAUUAGAGGGAUUCGCUCCAGAGCCGUGAGGCUUGAGGCGGCUGAGUUCAGAGGUGCCUGGAUUCCAAGUGGGGAGGCUGGGGAACCCCGCAGGAUGCUUCUGAGGCGGAAGACUGGACCCAUCUGGUGACAACAAGAUAAAGAGGAAGAAGAGAGAUGGAGUGAUGUCCGUUUCCCCAAAGGAUGAAUCAACAGGUGUCAGCGGCACACUGGUGGACUGAUUCGCCACAGCCAUCAUUCCCCUGGGCUGAGAAGCAACAACAACAACAACAACAACAAUCCCUAGCUGCAAGGUAGAGGUUCCAAGCCACUGAACCUGUUAUUUUAUGCUGUGGCUGCUCCCUGUACAACAGGGUCUGGUGCCACCCUGGGAAGCUGAGAGAGGCACUUGGUAGUCCCCACUGGAACCCGAGAAGCAAUUCAGAGGCUUAGCGCCCCCGCCCCGGUGGCAAUGUGCUGCGGAAGCCCUGCCCACGCAUGCCUGGGAGAACAAACAGGGAAAGAAUCCAAGAUCAAGUUGUCCUUCAUCCAUUCAACCAGUGCUUACGAAGGAUCAGCUCUGGGCAAAGCACGAGCAAGCGUAUGGACAUAAACUCUAAGCAUCUAGGUCUCUAGACGCUGGAAGACUUUGGGGGACGUUUCCCUUCAUCUGCAAACGCCUUGUGCCUUCAGCCGCAUUUGCAUCCCGAAUAGCAUAAGAGGAUUUGGUCUGGGCUUCACGAAUGGACGUGCGCGCGAAGGAAGGAAUACUUGAAGGGGCCACCGAGGGAGGCUGGAGGACUCAGAGACACCUCCUGGAGAAGAUGAGGUGGGGCAGAUGAGGCCUGAGAUGGACAGGCUGAGCAGAACCACGCAGUGGAGGGUUGAAGAUGAAUAGCCUACAGCCUCGGUCUGUCGGGGGGUGGGGGGAGGCGGGGGAGCUGCUGCUGAUUCCCUCUCUAUGACUCAUAGACUCGGCCAAUGUGGCGUCUUACGUGAUCUUCUUGACAAGCCCCGGCCCUCUGAAUGGUGACAGAGAGAUUACUGUUAGCUCUACCGUGGUUUAAACAGGCUUCAUUUUGUUAAACAUUCCCUGAAGGCAAUGCUCGGAAUCUGGGGACAAUUACUCAGUCUCCCCAUCGCCUCCUGCUCUUUUCUAAGACGGUGAGGGGUGUGUGGUGUGCAGAGGGAGGGGUUCACUCGGCUUUGGGGGAGAAGCAUUUAUAUCGUCCUUGCGUCCUCCCGUGUCUGGGUGCUCUGCUGGCCUCAAUUCUGACACUCUCCACUUGGAGACAGCUCGGAUUCCACAGGGUGAGGGCUCAGCCCUACAAGACCACCCCUCGCCCUUCCCCCUCAGGCACAUCCAGGUUGUCCCCUGUUCUCCUGACCAACUGACUGUAGAUUGGCGGUUCCCGUGACCCUCUCAGGUUCUGUUAACUGGCUCCUAGAACGCAGAGAAACAUUUGAGUCAUAGAUCACCGGUGUAUCACAAAAGGACACAACUCAGGAACGCCCAGGUGGAAGGGAAGAGACGCACAAGGCGUGGUAUGUGGGAAGGGCGGGGAACCUCCAUGCCCCCUCCAGGUGCACUCCCCCCCCCCAUAUCUCCACGUGAUCUCCAGCCUGGAAACUCUCCAAACUCUGUCUUUUUGGGGUUUUGUGGAGGCUUCAUUACCUACCCAGAAUGUAUUAAAUCAUUGCUUGUCGCUGACUGAUUCGACCUCCAGCCUCUCUCCCCCUCUCUCCCCUCCCUGGAAGUCUGGUGGUGUGUGAGGCGGCGGGGGGGGGGGGGGGGGACGGGUGGGAAGGGGGGGUGGGACUGAACAUUCCAACCCUCCAAUCACAUGGGCCACCAGCCCCCUUCCUUAGGUGACCCAGAGGGCUUUCCCAAAGUCACUUCGAGAACGUAAUAAAAGACAUCUUUAUCACUCUUAUCA